AGAGAUAAUUAGUCAGCAGGAGUUUCGGGCAGCAGUUGGGUGCAGGUUUGGUGUGGAGAUUACUGAUGAAGAGUUUGAGCUGCUACUUGACAGAAUCCGCCUUGAUGAAGAUGGAAAUGUCAGAUACCCCCAGUUCAUGGCCAGUAGGCCUUACUCUAAAAYGGCAUAAAGAAGACUGUUUUUUAGAUGAUGGCCUAAGAACAGCCAAGACAAGGGAAAUAUUAUGAGUGAAGCAGAAGUAUGUAAGCUGGAAUUCUUCAUAAGCCUGCAAGUCUUGUUUCAAGAAAAGGGCUGCCUGCUCGCUCUGAUGAGACAUCUGUGUUCAGUCUGGGAUUUGAGCCUAAAGAGGACAAAGACGCACAGAAUCAGAAAGAAAUUAAGGAGGAUCAGAAGGAGAACAACAUAGGUGGAAGAUUUCCCUGGCAGGUACAGAAAAAUAUGUGACUUGAUCCUGCAAUACUACAUCUCUUUUUCCUGAAGAGCAGCUUGUCUUCCACUGUGCUAGAAGUGCCUGUCAUCCCUCCUGGGUUAGAAUUUGGUAGCAACGCUGAGGGCUGCCCCUGGGGCCCGACUUCCAAGCAUCCAGAUGACAGUUUUCUGGCCAUUGAUCUAGGUCCUGGCAGUUUAAAGGCCACAGGAUAUUGUCUUUGAUGGGUUCAAAGAACCCAGCAUUUUGGUCAAAUCUCUUUUCCUGACUUGCUAGUCCCUGUGAAAUCUGAGUGAAACAGGCACUUUACCUCCAUCUGUUUUUCACAGU
ensembl:lncRNA